UACGGGCCGGUAGAGUGUGCGCGUCGUCAUCACACCUGAACGAGGGGAAGCCGGUGCAAUUCCGGCGCUGACCCGCAACCGUGUGCCGCCUCACGGCGGUGAGCCGGAUCGCCUCGCACAGGACAUGACCGGCUC
rnacentral:ncRNA from 17 species